rnacentral:rRNA from 1 species
UACGUAGGUGGCAAGCGUUAUCCGGAAUUAUUGGGCGUAAAGCGCGCGCAGGCGGUUUCUUAAGUCUGAUGUGAAAGCCCACGGCUCAACCGUGGAGGGUCAUUGGAAACUGGGGAACUUGAGUGCAGAAGAGAAAAGCGGAAUUCCAGGUGUAGCGGUGAAAUGCGUAGAUAUCUGGAGGAACACCGGUGGCGAAGGCGGCAUCCUGGACCGACACUGACGCUGAGGAGCGAAAGCCAGGGGAGCAAACGGG